CUAACCCAGUGCAGGCAGGAUGUGGCUAUAUUUGGUUGUCCAGGAGACGGAAGUGCCCCCAGUGAUUACACAAACUAGGGCCAAGGCCAGGCUCACUAGACCAGGAUAAUGAUGGAAUACGUGUAUCAAGGCUGGCAAAGCCACCAUUCUGACGUCAGCUCAACAAGAGGAGUUUUUCAGGUUUGUUUCCCGCUGGCACCCUGUGAUGCUCCUGGACAUUUUCCUGCUAUAUUUUCACAUUGGCUCAUGGAUAUUUUUGGAAGAUUUUACAAGGGGGCUGGCAGGAAAAGUUCCAGAAAAUGCCAGGAUUUGGAUAUUUCUUACAUACAUCCCCUCAAGAAAACGUCUGGAGUUCAGUGCAUGUCUGAGAGCGGCUUUAGUAAAGAUAAGAAAACAAACAAAUGUGUUAUAAGAUGCUGCUUGGAGUGUGUGUGUGUGUGCACGUGCUUACGGGAGUUCCUGUGUGUAAGAGGCUUAAGUGUGCUCAUGUAAACAACAAACGUACACUGCCUGUCAUGAGAACCUGU